GCCUGGGUGGCUCAGUGGGUUAAGCAUCUGACUUUGGCUCAGGUCACGAUCUUGCAGUUUGUGGGUUUGAGCCUCGCUUCGGGCU
rnacentral:tRNA from 1 species